CCUACGGGUGGCAGCAGUGAGGAAUAUUGGUCAAUGGACGAGAGUCUGAACCAGCCAAGUAGCGUGAAGGAUGACUGCCCUAUGGGUUGUAAACUUCUUUUAUAUGGGAAUAAAAUGUUCCACGUGUGGGAUUUUGUAUGUACCUUAUGAAUAAGGAUCGGCUAACUCCGUGCCAGCAGCCGCGGUAAUACGGAGGAUCCGAGCGUUAUCCGGAUUUAUUGGGUUUAAAGGGAGCGUAGGUGGAGUGUUAAGUCAGUUGUGAAAGUUUGCGGCUCAACCGUAAAAUUGCAGUUGAUACUGGCAGUCUUGAGUCCAGUAGAGGUGGGCGGAAUUCGUGGUGUAGCGGUGAAAUGCUUAGAUAUCACGAAGAAAUCCGAUUGCGAAGGCAGCUUACUGGACUGCAACUGACACUGAGGCUCGAAAGUGUGGGUAUCAAACAGGAUUAGAUACCCUAGUAGUC
rnacentral:rRNA from 1 species